rnacentral:misc_RNA from 1 species
UUUCCGUAGGUGGACCUGCGGAAGGAUCAUUAUUGUAUAACCGAGGUGCGAGGGCUGUCGCUCACCCGACUGGGCGCGCACGCCCGAGUGGCCUCACACACAACCAUCUCACCCCUACGUGCACCACCGCAACAGUCCCCCUUUUGCAUGUUCGGAUGGCGUCUUACGUUUUCACACGAACUAUGCAUCAAGUGUGGAAUGUAUUUUUUGUUUUUGCGAUCACGUAUUCAAAACAACUUUCACCAACGGUUCUCUUGACUCUCGCAUCGAUGAAAAAAG